GUGAAUCAUCGAAUCUUUGAACGCACCUUGCGCUCCUGGGCUAUUCCUAGGAGCAUGCCUGUUUGAGUGUCGUGAACUCAUCAACCCUAGUUGGAUUUUGAAUCUGGCUAGUGGCUUGGAAUUGGGGGUUUUGCUGGCCGUUUUGAUUCGGUCUGGCUCCCCUUGAAUAUAUUAGCUUGGACUUGUUCUAAAGGCUUCAUAGCGUGAUAACUAUCUACGCUUUGUAUUGUCUGAAGAAUAUUUAUGGGUCUGGCUUCUAAUCGUCCUUUGGACAAUUUAUUCACUCUUUGACCUCAAAUCAGGUAGGACUACCCGCUGAACUUAAGCAUAUCAAUAAGCGGAGGA
rnacentral:misc_RNA from 1 species